GACAGAGGGUGCAAACGUUGUUCGGAAUUACUGGGCGUAAAGCGCGUGUAGGCGGCUCUGCAAGUCAGGUGUGAAAUCCCACGGCUCAACCAUGGAAGUGCACUUGAAACUGCAGGGCUAGAGUCCUGGAGAGGAAGGUGGAAUGCUUGGUGUAGAGGUGAAAUUCGUAGAUAUCAAGCGGAACACCGGUGGCGAAGGCGGCCUUCUGGACAAUGACUGACGCUAAAACACGAAAGCGUGGGGAGCAAACAGG
rnacentral:rRNA from 1 species